GCGGCCGUGACCCUGCUGGAGUGUGGGGGCAACCUCAAGCCCCCCGGGGGGUCCCUGACGUUGCAGUGCCGAGGGUCCGGGUUUGAUUUUGGCCAUUUUGGGAUGGCCUGGAUCUGCCAGAGACCUGGGCAGGGGCUGGAGUGUGUCAGAACCAUCACCAGCAGUGGUGGCAGCACCUGGUACGCGGAUUCCGUUAAGGGCCGGUUCGGGAUCUCCAGGGACAACGGGCAGAGCUCGGUGACGCUGACCAUGAACAACCUCAAGGAUGAGGAUUCCGGAUCCUAUUUCUGCGCCAAG